GUCGGAAUCUGGGAGGACCAUCUCCCAACCCUAAAUACUCCCUAGUGACCGAUAGUGAACCAGUACCGUGAGGGAAAGGUGAAAAGCACCCCGGGAGGGGAGUGAAAUAGAACCUGAAACCGUGUGCCUACAACAAGUUCGAGCCCGUUAAUGGGUGAGAGCGUGCCUUUUGUAGAAUGAACCGGCGAGUUACGAUAUGAUGCGAGGUUAAGUUGAAGAGACGGAGCCGCAGGGAAACCGAGUCUGAAUAGGGCGCUUAGUAUUAUGUCGUAGACCCGAAACCAUGUGACCUACCCAUGAGCAGGUUGAAGGUGCGGUAAGACGCACUGGAGGACCGAACCAGGGCACGUUGAAAAGUGCUUGGAUGACUUGUGGGUAGCGGAGAAAUUCCAAACGAACUUGGAGAUAGCUGGUUCUCUCCGAAAUAGCUUUAGGGCUAGCGUCGACAUUAAAGAUUCUUGGAGGUAGAGCACUGUUUGGGUGAGGGGUCCAUCCCGGAUUACCAAUCUCAGAUAAACUCCGAAUGCCAAAGAAUUAUGGUCGGCAGUCAGACUGCGAGUGCUAAGAUCCGUAGUCGAAAGGGAAACAGCCCAGACCACCAGCUAAGGUCCCAAAAUAAUUGUUAAGUGGAAAAGGAUGUGGGGUUGCACAGACAACUAGGAUGUUAGCUUAGAAGCAGCUAUUCAUUCAAAGAGUGCGUAAUAGCUCACUAGUCGAGUGACCCUGCGCCGAAAAUGUACCGGGGCUAAAACAAUUUACCGAAGCUGUGGAUACCUUUAUAGGUAUGGUAGGAGAGCGUUCUAUGUGUGAAGAAGGUAUACCGUGAGGAGUGCUGGAACGCAUAGAAGUGAGAAUGCCGGUAUGAGUAGCGAAAGACAGGUGAGAAUCCUGUCCACCGUAAGACUAAGGUUUCCAGGGGAAGGCUCGUCCGCCCUGGGUUAGUCGGGACCUAAGGAGAGACCGAAAGGUGUAUCCGAUGGACAACAGGUUGAUAUUCCUGUACUAGAGUAUGUAGUGAUGGAGGGACGCAGUAGGCUAACUAAAGCAGACGAUUGGAAGUGUCUGUCUAAACAGUGAGGUGUGAAUUGAGUCAAAUGCUUAGUUCUAUAACAUUGAGCUGUGAUGGGGAGCGAAGUUUAGUAGCGAAGUUAGUGACGUCACACUGCCAAGAAAAGCUUCUAGCGUUAAACAUACUCUACCCGUACCGCAAACCGACACAGGUAGUCGAGGCGAGUAGCCUCAGGUGAGCGAGAGAACUCUCGUUAAGGAACUCGGCAAAAUGACCCCGUAACUUCGGGAGAAGGGGUGCUGACUUUAAGUCAGCCGCAGUGAAUAGGCCCAAGCAACUGUUUAUCAAAAACACAGCUCUCUGCUAAAUCGUAAGAUGAUGUAUAGGGGGUGACGCCUGCCCGGUGCUGGAAGGUUAAGAGGAGUGCUUAGCGUAAGCGAAGGUAUGAAUUGAAGCCCCAGUAAACGGCGGCCGUAACUAUAACGGUCCUAAGGUAGCGAAAUUCCUUGUCGGGUAAGUUCCGACCCGCACGAAAGGCGUAAUGAUUUGGGCACUGUCUCAACGAGAGACUCGGUGAAAUUUUAGUACCUGUGAAGAUGCAGGUUACCCGCGACAGGACGGAAAGACCCCAUGGAGCUUUACUGCAGUUUGAUAUUGAGUGUCUGUACCACAUGUACAGGAUAGGUAGGAGUCUAAGAGAUCGGGACGCCAGUUUCGAAGGAGACGUUGUUGGGAUACUACCCUUGUGUUAUGGCCACUCUAACCCGGAUAGGUGAUCCCUAUCGGAGACAGUGUCUGACGGGCAGUUUGACUGGGGCGGUCGCCUCCUAAAAGGUAACGGAGGCGCCCAAAGGUUCCCUCAGAAUGGUUGGAAAUCAUUCGCAGAGUGUAAAGGUAUAAGGGAGCUUGACUGCGAGAGCAACAACUCGAGCAGGGACGAAAGUCGGGCUUAGUGAUCCGGUGGUUCCGUAUGGAAGGGCCAUCGCUCAACGGAUAAAAGCUACCCUGGGGAUAACAGGCUUAUCUCCCCCAAGAGUUCACAUCGACGGGGAGGUUUGGCACCUCGAUGUCGGCUCGUCGCAUCCUGGGGCUGUAGUCGGUCCCAAGGGUUGGGCUGUUCGCCCAUUAAAGCGGCACGCGAGCUGGGUUCAGAACGUCGUGAGACAGUUCGGUCCCUAUCCGUCGCGGGCGUAGGAAAUUUGAGAGGAUCUGCUCCUAGUACGAGAGGACCAGAGUGGACUUACCGCUGGUGUACCAGUUGUC
rnacentral:rRNA from 1 species